rnacentral:rRNA from 1 species
CAUUCAUGGAGAGUUUGAUCCUGGCUCAGGACGAACGCUGGCGGCGUGCUUAACACAUGCAAGUCGAACGAUGAAGCCCUUCGGGGUGGAUUAGUGGCGAACGGGUGAGUAACACGUGGGCAAUCUGCCCUUCACUCUGGGACAAGC